ACAUCCCAAUGUCACAUCCCAGUGUCACAUCCCAAUGUCACAUCCCAAUGUCACAUCCUGGUGCCAUUCCCAUGUUAUCCCAAUGACACAUCCUGGUGCCAUUCCCAUGUUAUCCCGGUGCCAUUCCCAUGUUAUCCCAAUGUCACAUCCCGGUGCCAUUCCCAUGUUAUCCCAAUGUCACAUCCCGGUGCCAUUCCCAUGUUAUCCCAGUGCCAUUCCCAUGUUAUCCCGGUGCCAUCCCAUUGCCCCCCUGUUGUCCAGAGCUCCGUGUCCCAUCCCAAUGUUCCUUGUCCUGGACCAGCUCCAGGCCCCAUUCCCAAACCUCCUCCUGCCACAUCCUUGGCUCACAUCCAUGUCCAUGUCCCUGUGGCACAUCCCAAAGCAUCUUCCCAUUGCAUCCAUGUCCAUGUCCCUGUGUCACAUCCAUGUCCAUGUUCCCAUCACAUCCAUGUCCCAUCGUAUCCGUGUCCCUGCUCCCAUCACAUCCAUGUCCAUAUCCUGCUGCCACCUCCUGUCCCCAUCCCUGUUCCCACCGGGAUGCUGAGGGACAUGGGGGGGAUGCAGGUGACCCCUUGUGCCAGCAGCAUCACAGGGAUGGGCCCUGGAGGGGACACACUGGGAUGCACUGGGAUACACUGGGAUGUGCUGGGACACACUGGGAUGCACUGGGAUGCACUGGGAUGUGCUGGGACGCACUGGGAUGCACUGGGCUGCACUGGGCUGCACUGGACGCACUGGUCUGCACUGGUCUGCACUGGGCUGUACUGGGACACACUGGUCUGUACUGGGCCAGGGCCGGGGCUGCCUGGGUGCUACCUGGUGAAGAACGGGGGGUGGGGGUGGGGCUGGGGCCAGGCUGGAGCCUCCUCGAGGGGACUCAGUUCUUGCCAUGACAUCCUUGAACCAGGAGGCAACAUCCACGUCCUGAGCCUCAUAGCGGCGGAUGAAGCUGUGCUCCUGGGAACAGGGAUAGGGAUAUAGGGAUAGGGAUACAGGAGACAGGAGACAGGGAUAUAGGGAUAUAGGGAUGGGGAUACAGGGAUAGGGAUACAGGGAUAUGGGGAUAUGGGGAUACAGGAGACAGACAGGGACAGGGAUGGGGAUCGGGAUACAGGGAUAGGGAUACAGGAGACAGGGAUACAGGGAUAUGGGGAUGGGGAUACAGGGAUUCAGGAGACAGGGAUAUAGGGACAGGGAUGAGGAUGGGAACAGGGAUGGGAAUAGGGAUGAGGAUGAGGAUGAGGAGGCCUC
rnacentral:lncRNA from 14 species